rnacentral:lncRNA from 1 species
AAUAUUGCCCAAUAUAAAUUACAAAAUGAAUAACAUCAUAUCACAAAAUUUAAAGAUGUACUAAUUGCACCCAACACUAACAUUAAUCAAUGAGUUAACAUGUUCCUGGAGAUUAGAGAGGCUCGGGUUGCUCUUAUAGUGGUACAUGAGGGGAACCAUUCUAGCAGCAUUGAGACAAAAAUUGGAAAAUGAUGAUGAAAACUGAUUUGUGACCAGAAUUUCUUGAUUGAGACAUUUCCAUUCAUUUGAAAUCAUGUGAGCAACAUGUCGUUGCACGUCUUCACUGGAAAUAUCUUGGUGUUCACUCAUGUAGCAAUCAAGGUAUGACCCAUCAAGACCAUUUUGAUCUCCACUCUGCAUUCAUCCAUGAUAACUCUUAUCAUUAGAACUUUACAUUUAACAAUCGAGUUAAGUGGUUGAACAAUUUAAUCGAAUACUUGUUUAAUAUUCUAAUUUAGGAGACAUAUUUCUUACCUUAGCUCCUUCUAAAUCAUCAGAGAGACGAAGAAUUUUUGCCACUGAAUAUAUAACAUUUGGGAAAUUUUCAUCCAAGAUAUCAAUUGUCUCCUUUGUUAUACCACUAACAUGAUCCAAAAGGAAGAAUGCAUGUUCAAGCACAACAUGCACUCCAGUGCUCACUAUUCCAUUGUUUAAGUAAUCCUCUGCUUUUGGUAAGUGACCAGAAUUCAACCAAUGAGCCUCUUCCAUGAAAGCGUUCAAUAAGCGUAUCCACUGUUUCACGCAAAUAUUAUUAUAUAAUCAGCCGUUUGAAAAAAAUAAUUUAUAUAUAUGAUGAAAUAAAAAAGACGGAUAGUAAGUGUACCGAUUUUUUGAGUGUGUCUAUAGGGUUAAAUCCAUGCUUCUUGUAGACAUUUUCAGCAAAUUUAUUGGUAAUGUCGUAAAGUGCAUUCAAAGAUAUUUUCAUGAAGUUUGGAAGUUGCUCUGUGCCAGUGGUUUCCCACCUGAAUCAAAAAUCAUUUCAUAGUAAGUAUUAGAGUGAAGCAUCAAUGUAAUAUUUGUAUAUCUUUGCAUAGGUAUAUGUAUGUAUUAACUAACUAAUGAGAUGUAUAAAUUUAUUCAAAAUUGAAUACCUGUUAAUAGCAUCUGUGAAUAUUGUAAGUUGAUCCAAUGUCCCGUGAACAUCGAAAAUGUCGUCAAUAACAUAAAUUAAAGAGAUGGGUUUUGUGAGCUCAAUCCUUUGUUCUGAAAAGUUUGGAUCUGUAAAGCAUGCCAUAGGCCAUGUGUACCAUUUCAGAGGUUGAUACCCUGAAAACUUCACCUCCUUGUCUAGUCCAAGUUCUUUCCACCAUCUAUUAAAUGAGGGUAUAGUUACGUUAGUUACCCCUAUGUAAAAUUUGAAUAAUUAUAAAGUCAACAUCUAUUUUUAACCAGAAAACAUACUUGGAAACUUCAAUGGUUUCAUUCUGGUUCAUGAACCUAACUAUGCCAGAAUUGAUUUUAGCAAGUUCCUCUAAACAUAUCAAAUCCUUCUCAGCCUUCAAAUCAUGCAUGAAUGUGUUUUUAUCCAUAAAUCUUGACAAUCCAUAGUGAAGUGGAUUCUGAAGAGUGUUUGCAACAUAUAAAGCAUCCUUAUGUUCUUGGUUUCUUGACAACCAUGCAUGUAGAAGCUCACAGCAGAGAUAUCCUACAUCGUUAAGACUAUCUUCUCCUUCAAUACUUAGUUGCGAUGCUUCGUAAAGGGCAAUGAGACCUUUCACAUCCUCACCAUGUUUUUCUUCAAACAUUCUUUUGUUACACUUCAAGCUGUCAAAUAAAUCUACACAACAAUUAUAGUUAGUCAUUUUAUUACUAAAUAUAUAUAUUCAAUUUUGGAGAGGAUCUGUAUUAAACAAACCUGCAUUUACGUAAUGGCCUCCUUGUCUCAGCAAGCGGAAUGCAAGUGCAACUUCAUAGAGUUCAUGGCUACUCACAAAAUCAAUUAUAGGAUUGGUGUUCAAUAUCAAAUGCAGAUUUUCAAGAGCCACUUUUAUUUCCUCAGCAAAAUAGUGCUCAAUACCAAACCUUUGGAUAAUAUCCAUCAAAUAAAAACUCUCCAUCGGAUCUUCGAUUUUAACAAGUUUCUUAUAAACUUGCUUAAAUAUUAAAGCUUGUUUGACAUAUACAACAUCCUAAAAUUGUAAGAGUGCAGAUUGAUCAGAAUAUUGAAAUAAAGCUAUAUAUGUUGUAACUAAAUUUAGAAUAGCUGUAUAUAUUCGUACUUCAAUUAAAAUACUUACCAUUCUAGAAAUUAAUGCUUUGAUAGUAAAUUAAAACAGACUCGCACUAGUACAGAAAACACUUUUUAAAUCAGGUAAAAAUGACUUUUUAAAUCGGUUCAAGAUCCGACUUAUAGGUGGCCGAUUUAAAAAACUGUCUUUGAUAGCUGGGGAUAUUGUUAAGAUAUGAAGUGGUUUGCUAUAGCUCAAGAAAGAUGGUUAUUUAUAGCUGAACAUUGCACAUAGUUGAUAUUUGUUAGUUUGAGCUACUGAAUGAUUGAAGGUCAGCAUAUGUAUGCUGCAUAUGUGUAUUGUAAGACAUUAAUUUAUUAGUUAUAGUUUGCCAAUGCUUGUUAUAGUAUGUUGCAUAUGUGUAUUGUAACACAUUAUUUUAUUAGUAGUUUUUCUUUUGUAAGACAUUAAUUUAUUAGUUAUAGUUUUCCAAUGCUUGUUAUAGUAUGCUGCAUAUGUGUAUUGUAACAUAUUAUUUUAUUAGUUAUAGUUGGGCAAUGCUUGUUAUAGUAUGUUGCUGAUGUGCUGUUGUCUAUUCAUGACUAUUUAACAUUAAUUAAAUAACAACGAUUAAUUUAAAGGAGAACAUGUUUCUUAUAUUCCAUGUUUAUUUUGUGAGGAACUUUAGAUCAAUCUUAAUUUAUUGCUUAUAUAUAUUGAACGUCCAAAUGUAAUAUAAUAUGUUUAGUCGAUCGUGCAAGUAGUAAAGGUCAAGAAGCCACGUUGGUUCAUUUUUCUUCAUUUUUUGGUAAACACGUGAUUGUAUGCAGCUUGGGACACGAUACUAAAUAUGGACACUUCUUACAAUUCAAAUUUGAAUUUUAUCCCGUCAUGCUGUGAGAGGCUAAGCGCUUGUGCUUUACCAAACUUCCUUUGUUUUUUUCUUUUUCUUAUAAAAUAGUAGUAAUAUGUUGAAUCAAGAAUGACAUAUUAAAAACUUAUUUGGUGUUGGUUUCAAGAAUGACAUAUUUUUAAUUUCGAGAAUAGUAUAACUACAUAGAUUAAAUUUGAAGAAUUCAUAUAAACCUCUUCAAUUCCAGUUUUGAGUUCCUCCAAAUCAGGAGGAUUUUGUAUUACGAAGAAAAUGAACCCUUCGAAGUCUUUUACUCUCAAUGUCAUCUAUUUAUUCCUCCCGGAUCUUCCUUUUUCUCCAAACCUCUCCCCUCCCUUCCCCCAAACUCGCAAACAAUGCCUCGAUGAAUUAGAGAGAAAGAAGUAUAUGAAAGACACUUGUUAUUAAAUUAGAGAGAAAGAAGUAUAUGAAAUACACUUGUUAUUGAAUGACAUUGUUGAGGGAAGAAGUGGUUGUUAAAACUGUGUAUUACCCCUUUUAUAGAGGAGGAUAACAUUCACUAACCGUAGUUACUUGUAUGGCAAGUAACCAUUCAAAUUAACAACCUUGUAAGCAACAUCUACUUCCUAUUUUCUAGUUUGAAUUACAAUCAACAGAAAUAAAAAACACUAACUCAAGAAUCAAUAAUUGUGCUUUGUUUGAUUUUCAAGGUGGAUUUCGAGAAAGCCUAUGAUUCGGUGGAUUGGAGUUUUUUAGAGUGUCCGAAUUGGGUGGCUUGAAUGAAGGUGUGUGUGUGGGGGGGAAGUAUGUCGAUCCUUGUCAAUGGUAGCCCUACAAAGGAGAUUAAUAUUAAAAGAGGCCUUAAACAAGGAGAUCCCUUAGCUCCUUUUCUCUUUUUGCUAGUGGCGGAAGACUUUAGUAGGGUAAUGAGGAAUGUGGUUUCACUUAAUCUCUUUUAAGGGUUUGAGUUUAGAAGAAAUGGUUUAGUGGUUUCUCACCUACAAUAUGCCGAUGUCACUCUUUGUAUUGGUAAGGCAAUGGUUGAUAAUCUUUGAUCCUUGAAGACGGUGUUAAGAGGUUUUGAGACGGCGUCGCGUCUUAAGAUUAAUUUUUUUAAGAGAUGUUUGAUUGGUGUUAAUGUUCCAAAUGAUAUUUUGGAAAUGGCUUGUAAUUUCUUGAUUAUUUGGGGUUACCGGUUGGAGCUAAUCCGAGAAGUUUCAUGACUUGGGAGCCGUUGGUGGAGCAUUUGGGAAUCUUGGGGGGCAUAAAUACAUUAGUUUGGGAGGUAGGAUUAUCCUCCUAAAUUCGGUGUUAAAUGUGAUUCCUAUUUUCUACUUGUCUUUCUUGAAGAUGCCAGUGAAAGCUUGGCGGAGAAUAGUGAGAAUUCAAAGAGAAUUCCUUUGGGGAGGUGUGGGAGCCGGUAGAAAGAUUAGUUGGGUGAGAUGGAAAUGGGUUUGUCAACACAAGGAUAUAAUGGUGGUCUAGGUGUGCGCGAUGUUAGAAUCCUAAAUGUUAGGUUGUUGGCAAAGUGGAAGUGGAGGUUGUUGGAUGGGGAAGAAGCCUUAUGGAAGAAUGUUUUGGUGGAGAUAUAUGGUCCAAGUAUUACUAGGAUGUUGGAUGGUGGGAUGACUUAAAAUUGGAGGUGUGCUUCUCUUUGGUGGAAGGAUGUGGUAAAUUUAGAAAACUUUGGUGCCCAAGGGUGGUUUAAUUUGGAGUUAACUAGAAUCAUUGGCAAUGGAAGGAACUCUAGUUUUUGGAAUAUUAAGUGGCGAGGGGAUACAACUUUUAGGAGUAAAUACCCAAGACUCUUCUCGAUUUCAAACCAAAAAGAAUCGAUGGUAGGUGAUAUAGGGGAGGUGGUAGGCUCUUCAACGGAGUCGCGUUUUGAGUGGAGGCGGGACAUUUUUGAUUGGGAGGAGCAACUCUUCCAAAUCUAUUGCUAGAUUUGGAAGGUAUGUUUUGGUCUCAUGAGGAAGAUAGGUGGAAGUGGGGUUUGGAGGAGUCGGGGAUGUUUUCCGUUAAGUCAUCAUAUGGAAAAUUAGAGGGCAUUGUGUUGACGGAAGAUUUCUGGAGUGAGACGGACAAAAGAGUGUUUAGAAAAAUAUGGAAAAGUCCGGCACCUUCGAGGGUGGUGGCUUUCUCAUGGAAGCUCCUUUAUGAUAGAAUUCCAACAAAGGUUAAUCUCGCGGUUAGGAAUGUCUUACCCAUGGAGGCUUCUCGGUUGUGAGCUUUAUGUGAAAGGGUGGAUGAAUCCUCAACUCACCUUUUCCUUCAUUGUGAUGUAGCAGGUAGGGUGUGGCAAGGUAUUAUGCGGUGGUGGGAGAGGAUUCUCUUAAUUCCGCCUAAUUUAUUUGUGCAUUGGGAGUGUUGGGUUAGGGUGUGCGGAAUAAGAAAAUUUGUAAGGGCCUAAGACUCAUUUGGCAUGCAACGAUGUGGGUGUUGUGGAUUGCGAGGAACAAUAAAGUGUUUAAUACCCGGAACCCGGAUGUGGACGAAAUUGUGCAUGACAUCAAGAUUUUGCCGUGGCGUUGGUCUUUGUAGAGAAUCCCUAUGCCUACGUGCAUGUACUAUGAAUGGUGUUGGUGCUCAACGGAAUGUCUUUUGCGGCUGGUUUAGCUGGUAGGGGCUGGUUCGGUCUAGUGAGAGGGGGGCUGUUGUUAGUUUUCUAUAGCAGCUGCUGUUUGGUGCUGCGGUGUCUGCUAUUGUGCCCGAACAGCUGCUGUGGGGCAUCUGUUUUUGCUGUUCUGCUCUCGGCUCUGGGAGUGUUGGUGCGGUUGUGUGAGUCUGUGUAUAGUUUGAGCAAUGGCUGUGUAUUUUGGUGGUGUUUUGACUGGAUUACAGGCACAUAGCUUUUGCUUCUGUCACCUUGACAACAUGGUAUAAGAUUCAUUUUUUUUUUUGGCUUUCGCACCGGUUUCCGACCCACCAAAGGUGGGCGACUAAUCCGGCUCGUGCGUAGAGGCAUGCAUACUGGCCAAGCGUUGUUUCCCCUGGGAAUCGAACCCAGUAUUCCCCGGGUGCGUUCUUGAAAGGAGCUCCUUGCCACUGGAGCACAAGCAACUUAGUUGGUAUAAGAUUCAUUUUAGUCAUGUGGCACAAGAACUGUUUCUUUUUUUCUCAGAAAGGAAUUUUACACAAAAAUUAUCUGUCUGAUAGUAAAAAUAACAACCAAAUAACACCGUUAGUCUGAACAUCAUAGGAGAAGAAACAUCCGCUCUCAUUAUCGGUCCCUCACUUUCCCUUAUUUUUGUCAUGAUUACUUUUCUUUAUCAUCUUACUCCUACCACUGUGAUAUUAAAAAAGCAUUGUUGAUGGUUCUUCGUGACGUUAAAUAAAUUGGCACCAUUUAGGCAUUUUCCUUCAUAAGUUAGUAAUGCAUCUUCAACUUAUUACUAGUGCCCUGAAUAAUACCUUUUAGAAUUGGUUUCCUUCUUCUAGAUGAAUUCUUAUAUGUAUAUAUUAUGCUUUUGAUAGAAACAUGGCACACUUCACUUUCACCAAUAUUUUCAUUGUUUCUUUCGUAUGGGCCAAAUCAAGGAACCUGUAGGUUGGCUGUAAGAUUAUUUUCGCUAUUAUUUUCUAGAUGACCUUAAUAGUGUAGUUAUCUGUAAGAUUAAGAAAGUCCAAUUGCAAUGCUUAUAAUUUCAUUGAAGUACAAGGUUUGAGUACCAAUAAACAAAUGGGUUAUUAGUACCAAGAGAACCAUGAGAACAAUAUUGCCUAAUUUAAAUUACAAAAUCAAUAUGUUGUACAUAAACAACAGAACACAAUAUCUGAAAAUGUACUAAUUACACCCAACACUAACAUUAAUCAAUGACUUGACAUGUUCCUGGAGAUUAGAGAGGCUUGGGUUGCUCUUAUAGUGGUACAUGAGGGGAACCAUUCUUGCAGCAUUGAGACAAAAGUUGGAAAAUGACGAUGAAAACUGAUUUGCAACCAGAAUUUCUUGAUUGAGACAUUUCCAUUCAUUUGAAAUCAUGUGAGCAACAUGUCUUUGCACGUCUUCACCGGAAAUAUCUUGGUGUUCACUCAUGUAGCAAUCAAGGUAUGACCCAUCAAGACCAUUUUGCUCUCCACUCUGCAUUCAUUCAUGGAUAAUAAUUCUUAUCAUUAGAACUUUACAUUUUACAAUUGCGUUAAUUGGUUGAACAAUUUAAUCAAAUAUUUGUUUAAUAUAAUUUAGGAGACAUAUUUCAUACCUUAGCUCCUUCUAAAUCAUCAGAGAGACGAAGAAUUUUUGCCACUGAAUAUAUGACAUUUGGAAACUUUUCAUCCAAGAUAUCAAUUGUUUUCUUUGUUAUACCAUUAACAUGAUCCAACAGGAAGAAUGCAUGUAUAAGCACAACAUGAACUCCAGUGCUCACGAUUCCAUUAUUCAAGUAAUCCUCUGCUCUUGGCAAGUGUCCAGAAUUCAACCAAUGGGCCUCUUCCAUGAAAGCGUUCAAUAAGAGUAUCCACUGUUUCGCACAAAUAUUUUUAUAUACUCAGUUGUUUGAAAAAAUAAUUUAUAUAUAUGAUGAAAUAAAGAAGACAGAUAGCUAGUGUACCGAUUUUUUGAGAGUGUCUAUAGGGUUAAAUCCAUGCUUUUUGUAGACCAUUUCAGCAAAACUAUUGGUAAUGUCGUAAAGUGCAUUCAAAGCUAUUUUCAUGAAGUUUGGAAGUUGCUCUGUACCAGUGAAUUCCCACCUGAAUUAAAAAAUUGCAUAGUAAGUAUUACUGUAAAGCAUGAAUGUAAUAUUUAUAUAUAUUUGUAUAUAGGAGGUAUAUUUUUUAUAGAUCAUGCGCUACAAACCCUUUGUGGAAAAUUAUGAUAUUAAGCCUCACUUAGUUUAUGACUAUAAUUAUAUAUAUGAAUUAACUAAAUUAUGAGAUGUAUAUAUUUAUUCAAAAUUGAAUACCUGUUAACAGCGUCUGUGAAUAUUGUAAGUUGAUCCAAUGUCGCGUGAACGUCGAAAAUGUCAUCAAUGACAUAAAUUAGAGAGAUAGGUUUGGUGAGCUCAAUCCUUUGUUCUGAAAAGUUUGGAUCUGUAAAGCAUGCCAUGGGCCAUGUGUACCAUUUUAGAGGUUGAUACUCUGAAAACUUCACCUCCUUGGCUAGUCCAAGUUCUUUCCACCAUCUAUCAUUUGAGAGAAUAAUUACAUUAGUGAUUUCUAUCUAAAUUUUGAAUAGUUAUAAGGUCAACAUAGAUUUUUAAUUAGAAAACAUACUUGGAAACUUCAAUGGUCUCAUUCUGAUUCCUGAACCUAACUAUGGUGGAAUUGAUUUUAGCAAGUUCCUCUAAACAUAUCAAAUCCUUCUCAGCCUUCAAAUCAUGGAUGAAUGUGCUUUUAUCCAUAAAUCUUGACAAGCCAUAGUGAAGAGGAUUCUGAAGAGUGUUUACAACAUGUAUAGCUUCAUUAUGUUCUUGGUUUCUUGAUAGCCAAUUAUGUAGAAGCUCACGGCAGAGAUAUCCUACAUCGUUAAGACUAUCUUCUCCGUCAAUACUUAGUUGUGAUGCUUCGUAAAGGGCAAUGAGGCCUUUCAAAUCCUCACCAUGUUUUUCUUCAAACAUUCUUUUGUUGCACUUCAAGCUGUCAAAUAAAUCUACACAACAAUUAUAGUUAGUCACUAUAUUACUAAAUACUCCUAUAGUAAAAUUAUGUAUUCAAAUGUAGAGAGGGUACGAAUUAAACUAACCUGCAUUGACAUAGUGGCCUCCUUGUCUCAGCAAGCGGAAUGCAAGUGAAAAUUCAUAGAGUUCAUGGCUAUUCACAAAAUCAAUAGGAUUGGUGUUCAAUAUCAAAUGUAGCUUUUCAAGAGCCACUUUGAUCUCCUCAGCAAAAUAGUGUUCAAUGCCAAACCUUUGGAUGAUAUCGAUCAAAUAAAAACUCUCCAUCGAAUCUUCGAUUUUAACAAGUUUCUUAUAAACUUGCUUAAAUAUCAAAGCUUGCUUAACAUAUGUAACAUCCUGAAAAAGUCAAAGUGCAGAUUGAUCAGAACAUUGAAAUAAAGCUAUGUUGUAACUAAGUUUAGAAUAACUGUAUAUAUUUGUACUUCAGUUAAAAUACUUACCAUUCUAGAAAUUAAUGCUUUGAUAAUAAAACAGACUUGAUUCGGUGUUUAUAGCUGGGGAUUGUUAAGAUGAUUAUUUUGAAGAAAUGGGAAUGAUAUGUUGAGCUAUUUAUAGUUUAACAUUGCACUCGUUUCAUAUUUGCUCUUUUGAGCUACUGGUAGAUUGAAGGUCAGCAUGUGUAUGCAGCAUGUGCAUUGUAACACAUUAAUUUAUUUAGUUAUAAUAUUGAUGCAUUAUGUCGCUGACUUCAUGUUGUCUAUUCAUGACUUUUCAACACUAAAUAACAAAACAAAUAUUAAUUUAAAGGAGAACAUGUUUCUUUUAUUAAAAUAUAUAAUCAAUGCCCAUUCUUCCACACAAAAAAUGUGCCUUACGUUAAUACUUGUUUAUUUUGUGAGGCACUCUAGAUUGAUCUGAAUUUGUUGGUUUAAUUUAAAGUUUCUAUUGAACAUUCAAAUAUAAUAUAAAGAAUUAUGCAAGAACCACACUCUUUUCAACAAACUCUCUUUAGUUGGUUGGAUUUUAAAUGGGCCUCACUAAAUUAAUGGGAGCUACAUGAUUUAAUAUAACUCAUUUGACUUGCAACAAAUUAGAGAAUGUGUUGGAGAUAGUGUAUUAAAUAGUGUGUUACUAUCGCUCCUCGUAAUGUAUUUGUUUAGAAGAUAAAGUAAAUUGUAAAGGUAAAGAAGCCGCUUUGGUUGAUGUUCUUGAUAAAUUUCUAUAUGAUUUUUCUUUAUGAGAAUGUUAACAACACUCUCUCUAAUACUUACUCUCUUAUUGGUGGGUAAUUUACCUUAAUCAAUGAGCAUUCACCUUUUUAGAUGGUAUCCAUAAACUAUCUUGACCCCACCAAUAAAUUGUUCAUUUUCAUCGGUUGAUGGGUAAAUUACCCAUCAUACUUCAAAGGUAAUCUAGAAAAAACCUUAUGUUAAAUAUCCACGUGAUCGCUACUUUAAGUGGUACUCAUUUCUAAAAUAUUUGACUUAUAUUAAUUUCAUUCAAUAAAAAAUAAGUGUUAGAGCAUAGUGUGUUAGAAUGAAAAUGUUUUUAACAUUUCUCUUUUCUUCACUAUAUAGUAAGAGCAAUGCUAGUAACACAUAUUUUAACACACUUUAAUCGGUUAAAAUUCACAUGGACCCCAAAAAAGACUCCUAAACAUACUCUGCUGAAGCGAAAAAGUGAUUCUAAAUGAAUGCCAAUAUAACAGUGAUUCUAUAAAAUGUUUGGUUCAUAUAUAUAAACAGAAUACAUCACACAAAAAGCAAACAUAUCACAUAUUCAACUAAUUUUCCAUAUCCACAGCUUGAGUUAAAACCUAUGAAGCAUUAACACAUACACGAUCAUGUAACACGUGGACACCGGUAAUAAUUUGAGAAAAUGACAAAAUUGAAUGUAAUUACAUGUGUCGGUAUCAGAAACAAGCAUGUGUCAGACACCGGACACGUCUUCCGUUAGAAGUGUCGGUGUUACAAAGGUCAAUUUAUUUGGGAAAUGGAGAGAGAAAGAAGUAUAUGAAAGACACUUGUUAUUCAAUAACAUUCAAGUUCAGCGAAAAACUCUAACUAACUUCUAGUCUCUAUUAACAACCUUGUAAGCUACAUUACAAGCAACAAUUACUUCCUAUUUUCUACUUUGAAUUACAAUCAACAGAAAGAAAAAACACUAACUCAAGAUUCAAUUACAAGUGCAUCCAUAUUUUGUUUUCCUUCAGGUUAUUUGGUAUAACAUGAUUACACAUAGGAUCCAUAAACAGCACCCCCGUAUUUACCUUGUCAUGAAUCAUUUAUUAUAGAAUGAAAAAUGAUAUUCUGAGACGAAACUUUUAUGCUUUGUUGAUUAAUGAUUAUUAGAACCGAGAUGCAUAUUUUUCCUGUGCUUCACAUGUAGUUAAAAAUUUGCCAAGAACCAUGACCGAUCACCCUGUAAUGAGAGUAAACUCUAAUUUAAUAAUGCUUAUCACCAGGCCCCUGAUUUAAUAACUUCAUUCCUUUAUGGUUUGGUUAGGGUAAGCUUUUAACUUGUUUAAAAUAUUAACAGAGCUAGAAAAACAAAAAUUUCAGCAUAAAAAUUUCAGAACUAGACCCUUAAUGUUAUUUUAUGUUUAGUGCAAAAGGGAAAUGAGGAUCUAAUGAGAUUUUUUAGGUUUUGACUUUUGGUUCUUUGAUUUCAAGCUUGGUAUUACAGACCUUAGUCUGCACUCUGGAAUUUUCAAAUAUUUAGAUAAUUGCAAGUUUAAAGGAGUUUUGUCAACAUGUUGUAACUAGUAAUUGUUUGCCUCCUUCCAUGGAACCAAAACUCAAAGCAAAUGCCCGAGUAAUUUUAAUAACUUCAUUCCUUUAUGGUUUGGUUAGCUCCUUUCUUCUUUGAUGGUCUCUCAGCGUUUCUCUGUUUAACUCUCUCUAAAAUAAGUGAUAUCCGCUGGAAAUGACUUGGAAGCUAUUUAUACCAUGUCUGGUAAGUAACUGCUCACUUAGCCAUGCCCAGGCUCACCGUGGCGAGCGAAGCUUUCUUCACCAAUGGGUUUCUGCCACAUCAGCAAAGUGGCCCUCAAACCACCUUAGCUCCCGUGGCGAGCUCAUGUCUUUCUCAGCCACGCCUUGUUUUUCUGAUUUUCCUUGCUCUCUGUCUACCCUCACUGCAGCUUCGCUAUGGCGAGCCUCUUGGCCAUGACCUCAUUGUGGGCUCGUUGUGGCCAUGGUGACAGCAUCUGAUUUUCUUCACUUUCUGACUUGCCUUCGCUUUGGUCUCGCUUUGAGCUUGCUUAGCAAACCUCUUGACAUAUUUUUCUUUCCUUUUUUAUCUUAAAGUCCAUGGCAAGUGAAUUUUACCUACAUAAAUGUUGGUAUUAGACAUAAAACGCACAUAUUGCUAUUUUUCUAUUAAUUUGGAGCUUUUACAUAGAUAAUUUGCAAAACAAGUUAAUAAGUGCCUUAAUUAUACAUGUGAUUUAUCCAAUUUCUGGCACUUACCAACUCGCAAACAAAACCUUGUUGAAUUAGAGAGAAAGAACUAUAUGAAAUUAAAGACACUUGUUAUUAAAUUAGAGAGAAAGAAGUAUAUGAAAGACACUUAUUAUUGAAUGGAAUUGUUGAGUGAAGAAGUGGUUGUUAAAACUGUGUAUUACUCCUUUUAUAGAGGAGGAUAACACUCACUCACCGUAGUUCCUUGUCAGGCAAGUAACCAUUCAAAUUAACAACCUUGUAAGCACCAUUACAAGAAACAGCUACUUCCUAUUUUAUAGUUUGAAUUACAAUCGAUAGAAAUAAAAAAACACUAACCCAAGAUUCAAUAACUGUGCUUUGGUAUACCACGAUUACACAUAGGCUCCAUAAACAACACCCUGGAAUUUAGCUGGUGAUGAAUCAUUGAAUAGUUCAGAAACAAGCGAGGUUUUGUCUGUCUUGGCUGGGUCAUGAAAUGUUGCUACAGAGAGCCUUGCUCUAUCAUAAUACAAUGCUAGUCAGCCACAUAUCCUAUAAAAGCUUGGUUUCAUGUAUGGAUAUUGUUGUAAACUCAAAAAUCACUAUGAAUGAAAGAUAAUAUUUUGAUAUGAAACUUUUAUUCUUUCAUACAUAGAUACAUGAGCAAACAUCCUAUACAAGCAUGGCAUAUUUUCUUGUGCUUCACGUGAAGUUAUGGGUUUUCUAUGAACCUUGACCCAACCACACUCAACGUCCUUCCUACAAUGAUCUUAAACACAAUCAGAAAAACACAAUUGUUCGCAUGAUUAGUCGUAAUUGAAAGCUUGCCUCGAUGUCUAAAUAAGUAAAUUACAUUAUUGAAUAAUUGACUUGCACUGAUUAAUUGGAUCUCAGUAAUGUGAUGACACUCAGAAACUCUUAGUUUCAUGUACUUUAGUCACCUUGACAACAUGGUAUAAGAUUCAUUUUAGUCAUGUNUUAACAGCGUCUGUGAGUAUUGUAAGUUGGUCCAAUGUCCCGUGAACAUCGAAAAGGUCAUCAAUAACAUAAAUUAAAGAGAUAGGUUUGGUGAGUUCAACCCUUUGUUCUGAAAAGUUUGGAUCUGUAAAGCAUGCCAUGGGCCAUGUGUACCAUUUGAGAGGUUGAUACCCAGAAAACUUCACCUCCUUGGCUAGUCCAAGUUCUUUCCACCAUCUAUCAUUGGAGAGAACAAUUACGUUAGUGAUCUCUAUCUAAAUUUUGAAUAGUUAUAAGGUCAACAUAGAUUUUUAAUUAGAAAAACAUACUUGGAAACCUCAAUGGUCUCAUUCUGAUUCAUGAACCUAACCAUGGUGGAAUUGAUUUUAGCAAGUUCCUCUAAACAUAUCAAAUCCUUCUCAGCCUUCAAAUCAUGGAUGAAUGUGCUUUUAUCCAUGAAUCUUGACAAGCCAUAGUGAAGUGGAUUCUGAAGAGUGUUUGCAACAUGUAUAGCUUCAUUAUGUUCUUGGUUUCUUGAUAGCCAUCCAUGUAGAAGCUCACGGCAGAGAUAUCCUACAUCGUUAAGACUAUCUUCUCCUUCAAUACUUAGUUGUGAUGCUUCGUAAAGUGUAAUUAGACCUUUUACUUCUUCUCCAUGUUUUUCUUUCAACAUUCUUUUGUUCCACUUCAAGCUGUCAAAUAAAUCUACACAACAAUUAUAGUUAGUCACUAUAUUACUAACUAAAUACUCCUAGUAAAUUAUAUAUUCAAAUGUGGAGAGGGUACGUAUUAAACUAACCUGCAUUUACGUAAUGGCCUCCUUGUCUCAGCAAGCGGAAUGCAAGUGCAACUUCAUAGAGUUCAUGGCUACUUACAAAAUCAAUAGGAUUGUUGUUCAAUAUCAAAUGUAGUUUUUCAAGAGCCACUUUGAUCUCCUCGGUAAAGUAGUGUUCAAUGCCAAACCUUUGGAUAAUAUCAAUCAAAUAAAAACUUUCCAUCGGAUCUUCGAUUUUAACAAGUUUCUUAUAAACUUGCUUGAAUAUCAAAGCUUGUUUGACAUAUGUAACGUCCUGAAAAUGUAAAAGUGUAGAUUGAUCAGAACAUUGCAAUAAAAAGAUAUUCUAAAUUUAGAACAAUUGUAUAUAUUUGUACUUCAAUUAAAAUACUUACCAUUCUGGAAAUUAAUGCUUUGAUAAUAAAACAGACUUGAUUCAGUGUUUAUAGCUGGGGAUAUUGUUAAGAUGUGAACUGUGAAGUGGUUUGCUAUAGCUCAAGGAAGAUGGUUAUUUUGAAGAAAUGGGAAUGACAUGUAGAGCUAUUUAUAGCAUAACAUUUCACACGGUUCAUAUUUGUUCUUUUGAGCUACUUGUAUAUUGAAGGUCAACAUAUGUAUGCAUAUGUGCAUUGUAACACAUUAAUUUAUUCAGUUAUAAUAUUGAUGGCAGCUGAUAAAUAAAAUAGACAGUUUAAGUUUGAAACGAUGUUUGUUGCAUUAUGUUAACUCACUUCAUGUUGUCUAUUCAUGACUUUCUACUCUAAAUAACAAUAAUUAAUUUAAAGGAGAACAUGUUUCUUAUAUUAAAUAUAUAAACAAAAAUUAAUUUAAAGGAGAACACAUGUUUCUUAUAUUAAUAUAUCUAAUCAAUGUCCAUGCUUCCACACAAAAAAUGUGCCUUACGUUAAUACUACACUUGUUUAUUUUUUUGAGGCAAUUUAGAUCGAUCUGAAUUUGUUGGUUUAGUCCAAAGUUUCUAUUGAACAUUCAAAUAUAUACAACUAAGACACUCUAUUUAACAUACUCUCUUUUGUUUUAUUAUGAUUUUUUAAAAAGCAGUAACAAACGCAUUGCAAUACUCUUAAAAUUGAUUAUAUUACUAGCAUUAAUCAUUUGAUAAACACACGGUUUUUACUUCGCCCAAAGUUAUACAACUUGAGACACGACACUAAGAGUGUGUUUGGAUGGAGGGUUUAGAAGAGGAAGGGAGGGGAGGGUUUAGUUUUCAUUUUUAAAUUACAGAUAUUGUGAAAUAUUUUUUAAAAAGUUAACAUAUUUGAAGGUGAGAAAAACACAAGAAUGGGGGUUGAAUUGUGUUAGCUUUUUCUUCUUUUUCUCCUAAGCUGAAAAACAUUGAUCAGAAGAUCUGAAGUGAUGUUCAGAACUAGAUGCAGCGGAUAAAACAGAGAGAGAGAGAGAGAGAUAGAGAUAGAGAGAGAGAGAGAGGAAAGACACAAAGCAAUUAUACAGGUUCCUUCCACAAACCGGAAGUCAGUCAUGUCCCCCUUGCACUUCCAAGGAGAGUUCACUAUGUAAUAUCUGAUUACAAUUGCUCACUGCUAAAACUAGCAAGAAACUUCAAAUUGCUCAAGCACAACUGCAAGAGACUUCCUAUGCUGCUGAACACAAUCAAGAGACUUCUAAUGCUCAAGCACAACUGCAAGAGACUUCUUAAUUCAAACAUAAUUACAAGAAAAAUGUUUGAGGUUGAACACUUGAUAUACAAUCAGUGGUGUUCACAAUACAAAUCAGAUACAGACUCUUAAGACUCUAGAAUUUCUAAGAUAUGAACUUUGAUAAGAAAUUCUAAGUGAACUUUUGAAUGCAGAACAAUUUCAGCAGAGUUUUGGCACUUGUAAUUCUUGGUAUUGUUCUGUACAAAACUCUAAGUCUUCACUCCUUUAUAUAGAGGUGUGAAAGAGACGUUGUGAAUUGCCAGCACAUCAAAAUAGAGUCGUUUGAAGCUUUGAUCAAUCACCAAUGAUCUUUUGCCUGCUAUGGUUAUUGUCCUAUGAAGGAUCAAUUUCAAAUCCAUUCCCAUUGUGAAGGAACAUCGUUGCAGGCAGAGCUGUUUUUCUUGUUUUGUACCAGAGACAAAAACUGAGUAGUGGAGGUAGUGGUUGUACACUUCGUACAAUUGUAUUUUGUCAACGCUCUUUGAAGAACAAGCAUCCAAUGCCAUUAAAUCCUUUCAAAAUAGUCGUUGCUUCACUCUUCCAAUCUUCUGCAAUGCAUAGACGAGAUUAAAUCCAUUGAACAGCCUUUGAAGCUUUAAGUCUUGCAUCUCCUGAUGAAAUAGAGCUUCUGGUGAUUUUCAGCUUCUAAUGUACUUGCUUCUGAUGAACUUGCUUCUGAUGACGUCACCACUUCAGGAGCACUUUGUCUUCAGGAGCAGUUCUCUUCAGACGUUUUAAGCUUCCUUUUUGUUGAUUUCUUUACUCUCUAUUGUUCUUCCAGAACCUUUUUAAGAUUUCAAAUUUUUGUCUAUGGUCAUGUACACUUGAACAAAUAUUAGCAUAUCCAAUUGACAAUUUUUAAUACCUUGUUAUCAUCAAAACUCUCAAAGGGUAGUGUUAAACACACUUUGUUCCAACAAUAUUAACAUAAUAAACGAUAAUAUAAUACUUCAACCACACUUGAUUUAUCUUAGAAAAACAUGUUAUAUCGUCCGUAAUUUAAAAAAGAAAAGUAAACCCUCCCCUCCCUUCCCCUCCUAAAUCCUCAGUCCAAACACACCCUAAAUAUAUAUUGACUUUUCUCACAAUCAAAAUUUGAAUUUUAGCUCAUCACAGUUUGAAGAGAUAGACACUUCCUGAGGUUAACAUGCAUGAAUAUUACUUACAAUGUAUAGUAGUAAUAUAUGGGAAUCAAGAAUGAAGCAAAAAAUACAUACAUCACAUACAAAUCAGUUUAGCCAUGCGUGUUAUUUGAACAACUAUUAUAUGGGACAACCUUUGGAACAACCACUUUAUAUAGGAGUGUUAUAAAAGUUGUCUUAAAAUGGUUGUUUAAAUAUCAUUUCUCUUUCCCAAAAGACUCAUAAACAUACUCUGCUGAAGCGAAAAGUGAUUCUAAAUGAAUGCCAAUAUUACAGUGAUUCUAUAAAGUGCUUGCUUCAUAUAUAUAAACAGAACACAUCACACAAAAAACAAACAUAUCACAUAUUCAACUAAUUUUCCAUAUCCACAGCUUUAGUUAUAACCUAUGAAGCACUAACACAUACAAAAACACGUAACACGUUGACACCGGUAAUAUAAUUUGAGAAAAUGUAAAAAUUGAAUACAAUUACAUGUGUCGGUGUCAAAAACAAGCAUGUGUCAAACAAUGGACAUGCCUUCCGUCAAAAGUGUCGGUGUUACAUAGUUGAAUUUAUUUGGGAAAUGGAGAGGAUCCCAACCCAAACUUUUGAUGAAUUAGAGAGAAAGAAGUAUAUGAAAGACACUUGUUAUUCAAUGACAUCGUUGAAUGAAGAAAUUGUUGUUAGAACUGUGCAUUACCCCUUUUUAUAGAGGAGGAUAACACUUGAUAACCGUAAUUACUUGUCAGGCAAGUAACCAUUCAAGUUAGCAAAAAACUGUAGCUAACUUCUAGCCUCUAUUAACAACCUUGAAAGCUACAUUAUAAGCAACAACUACUUCCUAUUUUCUAGUUUGAAUUACAAUCAACAGAAGAACAAAAAAAAAAAAAACUAACUCAAGAUUCAAUAACAAGUGCAUCAAUAUUUUGUUUUCCAUAGGUUUGGUUAGGGUAAGCUUUUAACUUGUUGAAAAUAUUAACAGAGCUAGAGGAACGAAAACUUCAGCAUGCAAUUUUCAGAACUAGACACUUAAUGUUAUUUUAUGCUUAAUGUAAAAGGGAAAUGAGGAUCUAAGGAGAUUUUUUAGGUUUUGAGUUUUGAUUCUUUGAUUUAAAGCUUGGUCUUACAGGACCUUAGUCUGCACUCUGGAAUUUUCAAAUAUUUAGAUAAAUGCAAGAUUAAAGGAGUUUUGUCAACAUAUUGUAACUAGUAAGUACUUGUUUGCCUCCUUCCAUGGAACCAAAACUCAGAGCAAAUGCCCCAAUAAUUGAUAUGAUUACCGUUCCAUGCAUUUUACUAUGGCACAAAAACAAGAGAAGAUCGACAAAUUUAACAUGUUUCAUAUUUUGAUUCUACGUAAUCUUAUAUUAAUACUCUUUAAAGUUCGACAUCAAUGAGAGUCUCCCAACAAAAAUUGAAGUGUAAAGGAACCAUGAGAACAAUAUUGCCUAACUGAAAUUACAAAUCAAUAUGUUGUACAUAAACAACAGAUUACAAUAUUUGAAAAUGUACUAAUUACACCCAACACUAACAUUAAUCAAUGACUUGACAUGUUCCUGGAGAUUAGAGAGGCUUGGUUUGCUCUUAUAGUGGUACAUGAGGGGAACCAUUCUAGCAGCAUUCAGACAAAAGUUGGAAAAUGAUGAUGAAAACUGAUUUGCAACCAGAAUUUCUUGAUUGAGAAAUUUCCAUUCAUUUGAAAUCAUGUGAGCAACAUGUCCUUGCACGUCUUCACUGGAAAUAUCUUGGUGUUCACUCAUGUAGCAAUCAAGGUAUGACCCAUCAAGACCAUUUUGAUCUCCACUCUGCAUUCAUCCAUGAUAAUUCUUAUCAUUAGAACUUUACAUUUAACAAUCGAGUUAAGUGGUUGAACAAUUUAAUCGAAUACUUGUUUAAUAUUCUAAUUUAGGAGACAUAUUUCAUACCUUAGCUCCUUCUAAAUCAUCAGAGAGACGAAGAAUUUUUGCCACUGAAUAUAUGACAUUUGGAAACUUUUCAUCCAAGAUAUCAAUUGUUUGCUUUGUUAUACCAUUAACAUGAUCCAACAGGAAGAAUGCAUGUAUAAGCACAACAUG